GGACUACUCGGGUUUCUAAUCCUGUUUGAUCCCCACGCUGUCGUGCCUGAGCGUCAGUUACGAGCCAGUGAGCCGCCUUCGCCACCGGUGUUCUUCCCAAUAUCUACGAAUUUCACCUCUACACUGGGAACUCCACUCACCUCUCUCGUACUCGAGCUAAACAGUUUCAAUGGCAGUUCCGGAGUUGAGCUCCGGGCUUUCACCACUGACUUGGAUAGCCGCCUGCGCACGCUUUACGCCCAGUGAUUCCGAACAACGCUAGCCCCCUUCGUAUUACCGCGGCGGCUGGCAC
rnacentral:rRNA from 1 species